rnacentral:Y_RNA from 1 species
GGCUGGUCUGAAAGUAGUGAGUUAUCUCACUUGAUUGUUCACUGUCAGUUACAGAUUGAACUCCUUGUUCUACUACUUUCCCUCCUUCUUACUAUUGUACUUAAUGAGUCUUAA